GACGAACGCUGGCGGCGUGCCUAAUACAUGCAAGUAGAACGCACAGUUUAUACCGUAGCUUGCUACACCAUAGACUGUGAGUUGCGAACGGGUGAGUAACGCGUAGGUAACCUGCCUGGUAGCGGGGGAUAACUAUUGGAAACGAUAGCUAAUACCGCAUAAUAUUAAUUAUUGCAUGAUAAUUAAUUGAAAGGUGCAAUUGCACCACUACCAGAUGGACCUGCGUUGUAUUAGCUAGUAGGUGAGGUAACGGCUCACCUAGGCGACGAUACAUAGCCGACCUGAGAGGGUGAUCGGCCACACUGGGACUGAGACACGGCCCAGACUCCUACGGGAGGCAGCAGUAGGGAAUCUUCGGCAAUGGACGAAAGCCUGACCGAGCAACGCCGCGUGAGUGAAGAAGGGUUUCGGAUCGUAAAGCUCUGUUGUAAGAGAAGAACGGGUGUGAGAGUGGAAAGUUCACACUGUGACGGUAUCUUACCAGAAAGGGACGGCUAACUACGUG
rnacentral:rRNA from 1 species